CGGACGGGUGAGUAAUGUCUGGGAAACUGCCUGAUGGAGGGGGAUAACUACUGGAAACGGUAGCUAAUACCGCAUAACGUCGCAAGACCAAAGAGGGGGACCUUAGGGCCUCUUGCCAUCGGAUGUGCCCAGAUGGGAUUAGCUUGUAGGUAAGGUAACGGCUUACCUAGGCGACGAUCCCUAGCUGGUCUGAGAGGAUGAUCAGCCACACUGGGACUGAGACACGGCCCAG
rnacentral:rRNA from 1 species